rnacentral:rRNA from 1 species
UACGGAAGGCAGCAGUGGGGAAUAUUGCACAAUGGGCGCAAGCCUGAUGCAGCCAUGCCGCGUGUAUGAAGAAGGGCCUUCGGGUUGUAAAGUACUUUCAGCGGGGAGGAAGGCGGUGGAGUUAAUAGCUUCACCGAUUGACGUUACCCGCAGAAGAAGCACCGGCUAACUCCGUGCCAGCAGCCGCGGUAAUACGGAGGGUGCAAGCGUUAAUCGGAAUUACUGGGCGUAAAGCGCACGCAGGCGGUCUGUCAAGUCGGAUGUGAAAUCCCCGGGCUUAACCUGGGAACUGCAUUCGAAACUGGCAGGCUAGAGUCUUGUAGAGGGGGUGAAUUCCAGGUGUAGCGGUGAAAUGCGUAGAGAUCUGGAGGAAUACCGGUGGCGAAGGCGGCCCCUGGGACAAGACUGACGCUCAGGUGCGAAAGCGUGGGGAGCGAAACAGGGAUUAGGAUAC